rnacentral:ncRNA from 1 species
GCAUGGCCGCCUGAGACGGUCACCGGACGAGGGCGCAGUACCCGGAACGCGACAAGACUGACCACC